rnacentral:rRNA from 1 species
CAGCAGCCGCGGUAAUACGAAGGGUGCAAGCGUUAAUCGGAAUUACUGGGCGUAAAGCGUGCGUAGGCGGUGAGUUAAGUCUGCUGUGAAAUCCCCGGGCUCAACCUGGGAAUGGCAGUGGAUACUGGCUCGCUAGAGUGUGUCAGAGGGUGGUGGAAUUCCCGGUGUAGCGGUGAAAUGCGUAGAGAUCGGGAGGAACAUCAGUGGCGAAGGCGGCCACCUGGGACAACACUGACGCUGAGGCACGAAAGCGUGGGGAGCAAACAGGAUUAGAUACCCUGGUAGUCCACGCCCUAAACGAUGCGAACUGGAUGUUGGUCUCAACUCGGAGAUCAGUGUCGAAGCUAACGCGUUAAGUUCGCCGCCUGGGGAGUACGGUCGCAAGACUGAAACUCAAAGGAAUUGACGG